rnacentral:lncRNA from 1 species
CUUCACACCCUGCUCACUUCCAUUGGGGUCCUCCUGUCACCUGGGAUUCCCCCCACACAACACGUACUGCCCGUGGCCUCCCCUCUGCACCUACACGCACAGGAAGGAGCCCGGUCUCCCCCACCCGCAGCGAACCCAAACGGUGCAGAGGGGCUGAGCCAGAGCCGCUGACUUCCUCCCGGGCCAGGAGAGCACGGCAGCCGCAGGAGAUGUGCCGCGGGCGGCGCUGCUGGAGCCUCGGCUCCCUCCUGCUGCUGCUGCUGCUGCUGCUGCUGGGGCAAAACCUGGCUCUUCUCAUCGAGAUCCCGCAGGAUGCGGUCAAUGGCACCGUGGGGCAGUCCGUGCUCCUGCCCGUCUCCUACAGAGUCAACAGCUCCUUUCCCUUCCCACUGUCAAUUCAGUGGAAGUUUGGGAACAGCUCGCAAGUGCUCAUCACCUGCACGGUGCUGAACUGCUCCCUGGAUGCUGAAGGAGCUCCCGAGAAAUGCUCUGCACAAUAUUUCCCUCACAUCCCAUACCGGCACCGCAUUGAGGUCUUCCCUGAGAACGCAUCCCUGCUGCUGCGGGACCUGCAGCUCAGUGACAGCGGGGUGUACAGCAUUGCCUUCCAACAGCAAAUGCAAAGCGGGCAGAUCAGCCUGGCAGUGCACAAGCAGCAUGUUUCCACUGGGCAUCCUGACAAAGACACCAAGGCCCAAGACAUCUCCCGUUACUACACAAUUGGAGUUUGCUCCCUAAUCGGCCUCUUUCUGCUGCUCCUGGUCCUCUGCAUAUGGUGGCGAGGUGCACUGUGGAAGAAGAUGAGAACUAUUACACAGCAGCAGGCCUCAAACACAGAGGAUAUCCACAUGGAAAACACCAUGGUAGGGGACAUGGCAACAAUUUAUGCCACAGUUGGAGAAGACUUUGAAGAGACAAAGCCAAGAGCAUCACCAGAGACUCUCUACACAUCCAUAAACUUUCCUCAACUGCCUUCUGCUUUGGCUCCAAAAUUUGCUGCAGAGCCAAGGUGAUGCUGUUGCCACUCCGUCCAUUGUGAUCAGACCCUUGGUGAGCCCCCUCCUGCCCUUGGAGUGUUUAAGUGCUUGGAGCAACAGAUUAUGGAAGUGCAUUAGUUUGCCUCAAACCACAGUUUCUCUUGAAUUUGAGGAAUGAUCUGCUUUUAGUUUCAUCUUGAGAUUUCCAGAGAGCACAGAGACACUGAACGCAAGAGAAAGAUGCCUAAAGCAAAAGCAAAACAACAGUUCACCUAUGAGGAGCUCACUUCCAGAGACACGCCUUAAUUUGAGGGGUAAUGAACACUGAAUGUAUUUCAGACGUGCAUCCCAAAGUCCCUUACCAAUUGCUUGUCAUAUUAAAAGAAUGUACAAAGAUCUUUGGACCUGGUGUCCUUGUAUUUAUGAGUAUGCCAAGUCAUACUUGAACAGACCCUUUUUGCUCAACCUUGGGGUCCCACAGCAGUAGCAUUUUAGGGUCUCUGCAAAAUGCAGUGAGAGCAUAGAUAAUUUUCUUCCUCUCUGGGUUUCAUAGAAAACUAGAUAAUGUACUGAAACUUGGGGCCCCAUCAAUAAUAAAUGGAUAUUAAGACCGGUAAGAGUGCUAGGC